rnacentral:rRNA from 1 species
GACGAACGCUGGCGGCGUGCUUAACACAUGCAAGUCGAACGGAAAGGCCCUGCUUUUGUGGUGUGCUCGAUUGGCGAACGGGUGAGUAACACGUGAGUAACCUGCCCUUGACUUUGGGAUAACUUCAGGAAACUGGGGCUAAUACCGUAUAGGAUCUCCUGCUGCAUUGUGGGGGUUGGAAAGUUUCGGCGGUUGGGGAUGGACUCGCGGCUUAUCAGCUUGUUGGUGGGGUAGUGGCUUACCAAGGCUUUGACGGGUAGCCGGCCUGAGAGGGUGACCGGCCACAUUGGGACUGAGAUACGGCGCAGAAUCGAACGGGAGGCAGCAGUGGGGAAUAUUGCACAAUGGGCGGAAGCCUGAUGAAGAAACGCCGGGUGCGGGAUGACGGCCUUCGGGUUGUAAAACGCUUUAGCCUGUGACGAAGCGUGAGUGACGGUAAUGGGUAAAGAAGCACCGGCUAACUACGUG